AGGAAAGUGCCUACUGAUGAUGUGCAUGGGCCUGAUAAGAAAUGAUAAGGGCCAUUCACUAGGGUGGCCACAUUUGAAUCAGAUGGUGAGGCAUAUGUCAUUCUGGGCUACAGUUGCAUUUGCGAAAAGUCCAACUCCAAAGUCUUUGAGACCUAGCCUCAAGUGCCCUCGAUGCAGAGGUCCAAUCUCCUUUUCUUAUUAGCAUUGACCUAGGAACAACUACAAUUCAUCAUGCUAAACAGUGGAAAUGUGAAAGGUGACCUUUAAAUCUUAAAAUAAAGGCAUGAAGGUGUUGCAUCCUGCUGCAGCAGCUCUAUACCAAAUAACACCGAGCUGCUCCUGAUUAAAGAAAAAUGAAUGCCUUCUGGGUGAGGUGUUUUGGACAUGUCUUACUGGGAGGACUCCCCGCGGUGGACCCAGGACACACUGAAGAGAUUAUGCCUGCUGGCUGGCUUGAGAUCACCUCAGUGUCCCCCAGGAUGAGCUGGAGGAGGUUGCUGCGGUGACCAAUAGUUUGCAUGUGAGAGGCCAGCUUGUCUGCAAACACUCAUAAACUACUUGCCAAGUGAACUGUGAGUUCAAAGUAAUCCGGAAAGAGGGAAUGUCUGCCUUAAAAGUAAAAGUCUGCUUUUUCAUAUGUGUUGAUAGCAGAAGUAAGGCACAAUUUUUACUUCAAAGGCGAACUUUCUCCAUUUCCGUCUUUUUUUUUUUUUUGCACACUGCUUUCAAGUUUCGCUACAGCUCAGAGAGUACUUAAUCAGUGUUUGCAGACAAGUUGGCGUGUUUCAAGCAAAAUAUGUGCAACUGUAACCAUCUGCUAGUGACCAAAGCAAUCACAAGCUUUUUAGUUUAGACUCUCUGUGUGACAGAUUUCACCCAAGUCAUAGUGACUGCUCAUCAAAAAGUCUGGGAAUCCAACUUUUUUGGGGGAUUAUCAUCUGAUCAUCUACAGGUCUCUAAACCUGUAUGCAUGAGGCCCAAGAAGACACAACAUAUAUGUAACAAAAUUUAGAUUUGAGAAUAAAACCUCUAACAUGUGAAGUUUUCUCAGAAAUAAAUCCUCUGCUAUAGUGACUGUCGGCAUAAAACUGCCUCCUCUGAUGACAGUGAAACUAAUCAAAUUAACUAAUUAAAUAUGCAGCACACAUCGAGCCGAGAUUGGUCGUCUGCAUGUCACAGACAGCCAUGAGUUGUUUUCUUUUUUUAAGGUUUAAGUUUCUCAGCUAUGUAAGUGUUUUGUUAAAUAAAGAGGUUAUUUCAUUUUUAUACACUUCUUAACAGAUAAAUAGAAUGACAUCUUGCGAAACUAUCAUUUGCUUGUAUUUCAGCCAAAUGUGUGUCACUUGGCCGAAACACCAGAGGAGCAGGUUGUGUUUUUCUCCUGCUGUGUACUUUAUGAACAACCUUUCAGUUUUGCAAAUGGUUCAACA